rnacentral:rRNA from 1 species
GUGGGGAAUCUUGCGCAAUGGGCGAAAGCCUGACGCAGCCAUGCCGCGUGAAUGAUGAUGGUCUUAGGAUUGUAAAAUUCUUUCACCGGGGACGAUAAUGACGGUACCCGGAGAAGAAGCCCCGGCUAACUUCGUGCCAGCAGCCGCGGUAAUACGAAGGGGGCUAGCGUUGCUCGGAAUUACUGGGCGUAAAGGGCGCGUAGGCGGAUCGUUAAGUCAGGGGUGAAAUCCCGGGGCUCAACCUCGGAAUUGCCCUUGAUACUGGCGAUCUUGAGUAUGAGAGAGGUAUGUGGAACUCCGAGUGUAGAGGUGAAAUUCGUAGAUAUUCGGAAGAACACCAGUGGCGAAGGCGACAUACUGGCUCAUUACUGACGCUGAGGCGCGAAAGCGUGGGGAGCAAACAGGAUUAGAAACCCCGGUAGUCC